rnacentral:tRNA from 1 species
GGCGGCAUAGCCAAGUGUUAAGGCGGGGGCUUGCAGGGCCCUGAUCCCCGUGUUCAAUUCCGGGUGCUGCCU